GAUGAAGACGUAGCGAAAUGCGAUAAGUAAUGUGAAUUGCAGAAUUCAGUGAAUCAUCGAAUCUUUGAACGCACAUUGCGCCCGCCAGUAUUCUGGCGGGCAUGCCUGUUCGAGCGUCAUUACAACCCUCAGGCCCCCGGGCCUGGCGUUGGGGAUCGGCGGAGCCCCCCGUGGGCACACGCCGUCCCCCAAAUGCAGUGGCGGUCCCGCCGCAGCUUCCAUCGCGUAGUAGCUAACACCUCGCGACUGGAGAGCGGCGCGGCCACGCCGUAAAACACCCAACUCUUCUGAAGUUGACCUCGAAUCAGGUAGGAAUACCCGCUGAACUUAAGCAUAUCAAUAAGCGGAGGA
rnacentral:misc_RNA from 1 species